AUUGAACGCUGGCGGCAGGCCUAACACAUGCAAGUCGAACGAGUGGCGGACGGGUGAGUAAUGUCUGGGAAACUGCCUGAUGGAGGGGGAUAACUACUGUAAACGGUAGCUAAUACCGCAUACCAUCAGAUGUGCCCAGAUGGGAUUAGCUAGUUGGUGGGGUAACGGCUCACCAAGGCGACGAUCCCUAGCUGGUCUGAGAGGGUGACCAGCCACACUGGAACUGAGACACGGUCCAGACUCCUACGGGAGGCAGCAGUGGGGAAUAUUGCACAAUGGGCGAAAGCCUGAUGGAGCCAUGCCGCGUGUAGGAAGAAGGCCGUCGGGUUGUAAAGUACUUUCGGCGGGGAGGCGUUAGCCGCAGAAGAAGCACCGGCUAACUCCGUGCCAGCCGCCGCGGUAAUAC
rnacentral:rRNA from 1 species